rnacentral:rRNA from 1 species
UUGACCUCGAAUCAGGUAGGGAUACCCGCUGAACUUAAGCAUAUCAAUAAGCGGAGGAAAAGAAACCAACCGGGAUUACCUCAGUAACGGCGAGUGAAGCGGUAACAGCUCAAAUUUGAAAUCUGGCUCCUUCGGAGUCCGAGUUGUAAUUUGUAGAAGCAGCUUUGGGUUGUGGGACCGGCCUAAGUUCCUUGGAACAGGACGUCAUAGAGGGUGAGAAUCCCGUAUGUGGCCGAGGCCUGCACCCGUGUAAAGCUCUUUCGACGAGUCGAGUUGUUUGGGAAUGCAGCUCAAAAUGGGUGGUAAAUUUCAUCUAAAGCUAAAUAUAGGCCAGAGACCGAUAGCGCACAAGUAGAGUGAUCGAAAGAUGAAAAGCACUUUGGAAAGAGAGUUAAACAGUACGUGAAAUUGUUGAAAGGGAAGCGCUUGCAACCAGACUUGGACACCACUGAUCCGCGAGGGUUCUCUCUCGGGCACUCGGUGGGGUACAGGCCAGCAUCGGUUUGGAUGGUUGGAUAAAGGCCGAAGGAACGUAGCUCCUCUCGGGGAGUGUUAUAGCCUUCGGUGCAAUGCAGCCCAGCCGGACCGAGGACCGCGCCUUCGGGCUAGGAUGCUGGCGUAAUGGUUGUAAGCGACCCGUCUUGAAACACGGACCAAGGAGUCUAACAUCUAUGCGAGUGUUUGGGCGUAAAACCCAUACGCGGAAUGAAAGUGAACGUAGGUGAGAACCCCUCGGGGUGCAUCAUCGACCGAUCCUGAUGUCUUCGGAU